CCUGGGGUGGACGGGGGCAAUCUGUGCCCUUCCCGAUUAUCCAGCGGCAUCACAAACUACUGACUCCUUGAUCCAGUGAAAUCCUGUCCCCCUGAAGAGACCCUAUUGGUCGAAACGCGUUGGGGCUCAACACUGUAUCAUGUGAAGCUGUAAUAUGUAUCAUUACUUACUUUUACUUAUAUUGUAUCAAGGAUUGUGACUCUCCUCAAUAAGGAAUGUGACUUUUAAUCUGUAAUUGGUUCAUAUGUAAUGUAAUUUUUUACUCAUUGUUGCUACCCGAGAAAUCUCGGAAUAAAUACUUAUUAU